AGAUCCUAAUAGUUUGCCAUCAACAUGAAACUUGAUCAUUGUGACCUCCCUGAAAGACUAAGGACUCAUCCCCAUCCCAAUCCACCCCUGUGAGAUUAAGAAUAAAAAUUUCUCAUCACUUAGGACUUUACUUAGCAAGGCCCUCUUGAUCACCUUAAGUAGCUUUAUUUCCUUUUCUUCAUAGUAUUUCAUCGCCAUGUGAAAUGAUUUUAUUUAGAGUUGUUCUUUAAAUCCUGGUUCUUUGCAUUAGAACGUGAACUCCACUCUGCCAGGAGUCUCUUCGCCUAUUCUGUUCAUUGCCAUAACUACCACCGAGCACUGUGCAUGGCACAUGUUAGGCGCUUAGUAUUUGUUGACUAGUGAAUAAAUAAGUUCUUUUUUCCUGAUUUCUUGGUAGGACUAUCUUUGACAGUCCUUUCUGGGUCAGGCUCUAAGAGGGUACCGUUCUAACUUUUUUUCAUCCAAUUUUUUUGAUUGAUUGAUUUCCUCCUCUGUGCCGUGUUAACUUACAGCACAAGAUGGGUUUGCACAUCACCUCCUAAGAUGCUGAGUCGGAAGAAAGAGAAGGCAUGUGGAGCCUUGUCAAGGAGAAAGUGUGUUACUGAAUAAGUCAGUGAUGAUGAUUAAAAAUAUUAUAUGUGCUAGUUGAAAAAAAGUGAGGAUAUUGAAAUGAAAUCUGCAAAGUCAAGUUCUCACAGUAGUGUAUGUUUCCACUAGUAUUUAAAAUAUUGAUAUUUCUAUAGUCUCCUCUUCCCACUGCUUGUGCACCAACCCCAAAUUUAGCUGCGGUUUGGGAAGGUCCAUAGCAGGUAGAACUUAUGAAGUAUUAAUUUAACUAAAUGAAUAUAGGAUUUACAUCUCUGCAGAGCUCUUAACUCUGCUUUGUUGUUAAUAUCGCUAACUUAACUCCACAGAAGACUAGAUAGAGGUUAUUUAACAUUAUAUUUCAAACAUCUUAAGUGGAUUGUAAAGAAUUAAAGCUAUAAUAAUAAGCCAAUGAUAUAAUGGGAGAAUUAUUUGAAUGUAAUGCUUAACACUACUUCCUUAGAGGGUAAACUUGAGUAAACUUGAUUUUGUAAUACAUACUAAACUUGGGAGGCAUAUCAGUCUACCUUAAUCUUGUAGCAGUAUCUUUAGAACUCAGUACUUCCCAAGUCACUUCUAAAGAAGGUUGGGCAUCCUCCAGUUCCCUUCCCUUAACAGUGGCUGUGGUCACUUACAGAAGCAUAAUCUCAAGAGUGAGCUCAGAGAUAAUAGAAAUGUAAAGCUGAAAAAGACCUUGAAAUUGCUUGGCACAAGUCAUUGCUUUUUACCAGUUGCUUUCUGAGGACGCGAAGACACAGUGAGAUGACUUGCCCAAGAUGCAGGGUGGAGAUGAGAACUAAGGAUUGUCCCUGAAUUAGCCAGAGCUCCCAUAGGUGGGGGAGGAGUGAUUUCUACCAUUAGUUGAUUGUUUGCCUCUUGCUUAUGAACUCUCAGAGAGUAAAACUAUAUAUUAUUCAACUUUGUACCCUCCCAUGUGUCUUGGACAUCUAGGGGCUCAAGGAAUACUUGUUGAAUGUGGUAGGACAGUGUAUUUAAAAUGGAAAGUAUACUUAAGAAUUGAAAAUGUAUCUUUUCCAAAUUGAAGUGGUUUUCUGACAGAGUCACAAUGUUGGCAGUAAUUAACCUUAGAACUUUUUUUAAAAAUAUAUUUUAUUGAUUUUUUUUACAGAGAGGAAGGGAGAGGGAUAGAGUUAGAAACAUCGAUUAGAGAGAAACAUCGGUCAGCUGCCUCCUGCACACUCCCAACUGGGGAUGUGCCCGCAACCAAGGUACAUGCCCUUCACUGGAAUCAAACCCGGGACCCUUCAGUCCGCAGGCCAACAGUCUAUCCACUGAGCCAAACCGGUCUGGGCUAGCCUUAGAACUUUUAUAGCAAUGAAGCUACUAUGGAGUUUUCAUGCCUCCAGGAUUUCAGAUAAAAUGGCUUACAAUGUACAAGUGUGUGUGCUUGCUUAGCAUCAUCACUCGCAGGUGGAGAAACAGUAGGAAAGACACCUGGUAGGUGUUGCUCUGCCACAGUGUUUAAUUAGAAAAGUCUAAACUUUAUAGCCAGAUAGAAUUGGGCCUGAAGCUCAGCUCUGGCCCUAUCAGACAGGGCUGGCUCUCUCUAGUGAGUUACCUAACUUUUCUGAGCAUUCUCUCAUCUCUAAAGAGGAUGGAUGCAAUACCACUUACCCUGAAGGAUUGUUGUAAGAGUGGGAUAACAUAGGUAAAGUGCCUGGUGUACACUGGGCCCUUAAUGAGUGGAAACAGCUAUAAUUAUGAUUUCUAACUUAUGUGAUCCUGGGAAUAGCUUAAACUCUCAAAGCUUCAGUUUUCUUACCUAGAGGAUUGGUGGUUGAGAUGAGGGGGUGGGAAUUAAAUGAUCUCUAAGAUUUCUGUCCAUCUCUAUAGUUAAGAAACCAAUAAGAAUGUACAACUUUCCUGUUAUUUUAGUUUAAAUAAAAUGAUUGAUAUUAAUCUAACAAGAGUAACUACAAAAAUGGUUAGUUUCUAGGCAUUCCUAAGAAUUUAGCAUAAUUAGUUUUGGUGCUAUUAAGUACAUUUUCAUUAUUUUAUGUGCUAUAUAAUGGAUACAAAGUUAACUUAAUAUUUCAACCUCUCAGCUUACAUACCAGGCAGUAUAAGGAGUGUACAGUUUAAUAAGUCAUGGAUACCUUUUUUUCUUUCUUUCUUUUUUUUUUUUUUUUGAUACCUUUUCUGUGAAAGGCUUGUAGGGAGCAUAAGAAAGGAAACCAAAGGCUGAAUUACAUGGAAGGACUGGUAGAGAGGCAUAGCAGAAAUGCUUUGUGAUUUCAGAGAAGGAAAAAUUGGAGAAGACUUAAUUACGGAAUCUUGAGCAAAGCCGUAAGGAAUCGGCAGGACUUCAACUGGCAGUGAUGUAAGGAUCAGCCUGUAUUAAGACUUGAAGGAUAUCCAGAAAUGGAGGGACAAAAACCUGGGGACAGGAUAGUGGGACAGAAGGCUACAUGGCAGGGUUAGGACCAUAUUGUGAACAUCUUGAAUGCUGGGCUAAGGAGCCUGUUCAGUAGGCAGUAGCUAACCAUCAAAGGUAUUUAAAGUGGAGGGAACAAUGUAAUUAAAGCUGUGCUUUGAGAAGAUUAAUCUGCAUCAGAGGAGCAAUGGGUGGUCCCAGUUAGGAAGCUAUUAAAAUAGUCUCCAGAAUAAAAGCAGUGGGAAUCUAAAUUAGGGUGGGAGUCAGGUGGGUUGGGUGUGACACUGUACAGGUAAAUGCAAGAGGACUUGUUGACAAAUUGGAUGAGGGAGAAGUCAAAGACUGAAACGUAAGAGUAACUUUGGAUGGAGAUGGCAGGAAUUGAAAUAGGAAGGGCCACUAGUGAAGGCACCGCAAAUAGUGUGCAGUCAGCAAUGUUUGUAUAAUUAAUGUGAUUAUAAGUUUGAAUUUGGGUAUGUUAACGUUUUGUGUCUAUGGACAGUCCAGAUGGAUGGAGGAGCCCUGGCUGGUUUUUCUCAGUGGUUAGAGCAUCAGCCCAUGGACAGAAGGGUCUCUGUUUUGAUUCUCAGUCAAGGGCAUGUACCUUGGUUUCAGGUUCAAUCCCCAGCUCUAGUCGAGACGCGUGCGAGAGACAACCAAUUGAUUUGUCUCUUCUCACAUCAGUGUUUCUCUCCCUCCACCUCUCCUCCAUUUCAUCUCCUCCCGCCCUUCCACUCUGUCUGAAAACCAAUAGAAAAAAAAUAUCUUCGGAUGAGGAUUUUUUUCUUUUUAAAAAAGAGGAAGAGUGAAGGACAUCCUUAUGAAGAGGAAUGGUGAAGCUCUGAUGGUUCAGAGUGUGAGGGGAAGAAUAAAAGACCAGCAUAGGACCUUGGAUAUCCACUGUUUGUAUGUAUAGAGGGGGAGACAGAGGCUGAUAGGAUGCUGAGAAGAAAGAAACGAGAGGAAAACAAGGAAGAGAUCGGGUUAAAAAAAAAAAAGGUGAGAAAGGAGAAUUUGGAGGAGGCCGAUAGGGUAGAGGGGCAGAGAUUGAAGACUGGGAAAAAGUCAUUAGAUUUUUCAAUGAGACCAUUGGCAAUCACCUUUGAGGUCAGGGUCAAUGGGGCAGUGGAGACAAAAGUCAGCCAGGCACCCGAGGAGUGCCUGAAUGGGAAGGAAAUGGGGGGAGUCCGUAUAAGCUAUGAUUGGACUGCGAAAAUCUGAGAGGACAGUGACUUCAGGCACUGAAAACUUUCUUAAAAACCAAAAUCAUAGUGAGUCUCGAGAAUGUUGUAGCUGACAGUGGAGAGGAAGGAACUGAAGACCAAGAGAAGGAGUGGGGAGGCAAUUCAUGGACCAGGCCCUUCGCAAGUAGGAAGGACAGGAGCAGGACAGGGUGGCCAGACAUCCGGAUUGCCCAGCAGUCUCGGUUCACACCUGUUAUCCCAGUUUAAUUAUGUGGUAAUAUUUGGAGAAAUAAUGUCCAUUUUUAUUCUAACAGAAGACCCCUUUUUGAAUAGUAAAUUAUUUGAUGACCCUGGUGAUGACACAGAUAAAGUAGUUACUCAUGAAAAAACAGAUGUGACCUGGAAAGAAAAAAGAAGUUAAAUGAAGGCAAAGAGAAACAGAUUUAGAGAGGAAAGCUGGAAGCUGGGAGGGAUGGAGGCUGCCUUUGAAGUGGGUUGGUUCCUUUCUGUUGGGGGAAAAAAAUAAUAGAGUGGACCACUUGAUUUGCUGAACAUAAGUUGGGAGUGAGAGGUAAAGUUGGGAGGUGGAGGAGAGUGGGAAGGGUUUAGAAUAGCUGUGGAUUUGUAUGUGACAGGGAUCCAAAGGUGAUGAGGGCCUGACAAGUUGCUAAAAGGCCUUAGCCUUGAUAGAACAGGUCUUCCCUGCAUGUAUGGCUUUUUCCAGCAAUACUGAAAAAGUUGGACAUGGAGAUGGUGUGAGUAUCAUGGAGACUGCGAACUCCAUAUGGGUGCUCCGGUAAGUUGGGAGGCAAGUGAAACCAGAGUGUUGAUGGUCUGGGAGAAUGAGCAGGAGAUGUGAGAUUAGAAUGUGUAGUGAAUGGUUGGUUUUGCAAGAACAAGGAAAAGAGAAAUGGAAGAGUAGAGGGAUGAUUCUGAGGCUAGUGGCAAAGGGUACGAGGAACUUUCAGAGUAUCUUAUCCUUAUGGAGGGAUCAGUUAUGAGCAAUUAUGUAAAUUCUAAGUGUGGCUGAAUUUGAGGAUGGUGGAAUGACAAAGGCCUGAGGAAGAAGGUCAUUGAUCCUCAGGAUCUAUGAGGCCAAGGUGUUAAAAUGAUUAUAUAUCCAUGUUAGUGUCUUUUAAACAUGCUGGAAUGCAUUUAUUAUUAAAGCCUUUCUGAGCUUUUAGACCAUAGAGUGGAAAGUACCUUAAAUAUAGGGAAGUUUUUCCUUCAUUGAAAAGAUGAGGAAGCUAACAUCUUUUAAAGACUUUCUGGAAAGAUUGCAACUUACCCAGAUCACAGAAGCGUGGCAAAGCUAUUUCUGGGAGGAAUCUGAACCUCAGUUUCGUAUUCCUCUGUAGGACAGGAGAAGUAAUUAAGGUGCCCACUGCAAAGAGUCUUAGAAAGCUUCCUCGCCAUGCAGCUUGCCCACACCAUUGUUUGUGGGCCUGGAACUCCACCGAGGAGAGUGGAGGAAUCCAGUCCAUGUGUUCAGACUGCCAACCAAAGGCAGGUGAUGGCAUUUUUGAGGCGGACCCAUGAAAAGCACCAGUUCUUCCUCACCAGUCAAGGAACAGAUAAGAACUCAGCCAAUAGACAAAAUGUUAACUUUAUUAUUGAUGAAGGUUAGAUCAGAAAGCAUAGCUUGGUGUGAAGCCCAAAAUAGUUUCAUGCAGUGGUUCUCAACCUUCCUAAUGCCGCGACCCUUUAAUACAGUUCCUCAUGUUGUGGUGACCCCCAACCAUAAAAUUAUUUUCGUUGCUACUUCAUAACUGUAAUUUUGCUACUGUUAUGAAUCAUAAUGUAAAUAUCUGAUAUGCAGGAUGUAUUUUCAUUGUUACAAAUUGAACAUAAUUAAAGCAUAGUGAUUAAUCACAAAAACAAUAUGUGAUUAAUCACUAUAUGAUUAAUUAAAAACAAUAUGUGAUAUAAUUACAACAAUGUAAUUAUAUAUGUGUUUUCCGAUGGUCUUAGGCGACCCCUGUGAAAGGGUCGUUCGACCCCCAAAGGGGUCGCGACCCACAGGUUGAGAACCACUAAUCUACAGCCUAGUCUAGACUUCGAUUCUACUUGAUGGAAAGUUUGAGUCUGCGGAGCAGAAAUCCCCAGGUUUCUGCCUUUCACUGUCCAGGUACAGAGAAAGAUUGAGGCCAAAUCUCUCAUGGCUGGUAUAUUUGAUAGAAAAACUCCAUCAUCCAUUUGAGAACUGAGAAACAGAGCCAUGGCUGUCACACACCAACCAAACUGCUUCACCUCAUGGGGAAGGAGAUGGUAUAGGCGCCGUGGCCGGCAAACUGCGGCUCGCCAUCCAAAUGCGGCUCUUUGGCCCCUUGAGUGUGGCUCUUCCUAAGCCUUAGGAGCACCCUAAUUAAGUUAAUAACAAUGUACCUACCUAUAUAGUUUAAGUUUAAAAAAUUUGGCUCUCAAAAGAAAUUUCAGUCGUUGUACUGUUGAUAUUUGGCUCUGUUGACUAAUGAGUUUGCUGACCACUGGCACUGUAGGGCAAGCAGGCAGGAGUGGAUCGGGAAUGUGCCUCCUUUGGAAACUGUGAGAAGGGAAAGAGGCUAUCGUUCCCCUUAAACAUAAAGUUAGUGACCAGUCCUAAGCUUCCUGUUUGCAUUUGAGUUAAGCAAACUUCUGAAACAGCAGGUGAAUUUUUAUUUUAACUAGAAAUGAGUAUAAUGACUCAGAAUGGCUAGUUAAUGACUCAGAUUUCAUAGUCAUACCCAGUGAAUCGUCCCUUCCUUCCAGGGAAUGUCAGGAGACUCACAUAUGUCAUAGAAAUCACCAGCUUUGAUAUUGUGUUGUUGAAUUCAGAACUUGAAAGUUCUUUCUCCUCAUAAAAUAUUUAAGGAGCCCUUAUUGGACAUGGGACGUUUGGAACCAGUCCUGAUUCUGUCACUAUUACUGACCUUACUAAUAUCUAUUCAGUGACUUAGUUUCCUCAUCUGCAGCAUGGGAGAAAAUAAUACCUGUUCUAUUUCCCAGGUAUUCGUCGUGAAAGCUCUCUGCAUAAAUAGUCUUAUGCAGAGGUAUCAAUAUUAGCAGGAUACAAGGUAAACAUACUAUGGAGUUUAAGAACUCUUUUAAUUAAAGUGUUUCAAGUAAAACAACUAAGAUGACUAUUGAAGUUUGGUGGGACUCUUGUUCAGACAUUUAAGGGUAAAUCAGGGUGACUUUUCUCCUUUUAUCACCAUCAAUGUGUCCAAUAAUUAUGGCCAAGUGAGUUGAAAGCCCUGUGUUUUCACAACAAAUGAAAUCUCUGCCUUUUCAUUUAUUUCUGUUAACUGUUCAAAGCCUUUUUAAUUGCCUGGCCAGUGUGGCUCAGUGGUUGAGCAUCACCCUAUUAACCGGGAGGUCAUGGUUUGAUUCCCAGUCAGGGCACAUGCCCAGGUUGUGGGCUUAAUCCCCAGUGUGGGGCGUGCAGGAGGCCAAUCAUCAUUGAUCUCUCUCUUCCCUCUCCCUUCCUUUCUGAAAUCAAUAAAAAUAUAUUUUUUAAAAUAUGUUGUCUUUUUAUUGUAAAAUGUGACAAAUAUAUAACUUCUAAAAUGUAAAUGUACAGUUCAGUGAAUUAUUAAAAAGUGAACAUCCAUGUAACUACCCACCCAGCUUAAGAAAUAGAACAUUUUAAUCUCCCCCUCCUCUUAGGAAUCGCUUUUCUUUGUUAGAUACAUGGUUUUCUUCUCAGGGAGGUCAUGAGUAGUAGCCGGAGGCAAAAAUAAGUGUUGACAGGUCCAGAAUAUGUGCUUUUGAGUGGAAUUAGAUCAAAGGUAUAAUAUUCGUGUGUUUUUCUUACUUUUACUCUAUAGUUAUUUCUUGUUUUUAUAACUAUGAAUUUGGUGUUUAGGACAAGACAAGUCCUGGAUUUUUCAGCCUUCAAGAUCAAAAUCUUCAGGCUAAGAGUCCUCACUUUUGUAUCCUCUGGAUGGGAGGGGAAAAGUUGUGAUCCUUUCGAUAUGAGAAAACGCCUUGUGCUUAAUUAUUUUUUAAAUGUUCUGAUCAUCUCUCCUUUGCCUAUUCUUGGAAGCAAAACAGCUAAGACUCCAAUAUUGAUGAUGACUUUGUGCAGGAGUCAGAUGCCUUCCGUGAAAGUACUUGAGCACUAUCAAGGCCACCACCGACUAGAUAUGAAAUGGCAAGAAAGGAGUCAAGGAAAACAGCUUUAUUGCAUGAAAAUCUGCAUUUUCUUUGUUUAUUUAUAAUCUAAUGUUCUAAAUUCUACCACCUUUUAAAACUAAAAGGGUUAGUAAAUCAAGUCUUUUGGGGCAUCCAGAAAAAAAGGUUUUCCUGAUACAUGUUUUAUAUUAAAAAAGAAAAUGACAAACAUUGAAAUAAUUGGGAAAGUAUCUUAGCUAACCUGUUGUGUUUAUAAAAACAGAAAAAUUACGCGUGUUUAAAAAAUUGGCGAAGGCUCAUCUUUUGGGGCAGUUUCUAUGGUUGUAAGAUUUAGUUAUAGGGACUUUAGAUUAGAAUUUGGUGGACUGAACAUGUGUUUACUGUCAGUCCAUCCCGAAACACCACUAUAGAAAUGGUGAACCUGAGAAGAGGCAACAGCAGAUGGGAGAUGCCAACCAAUUUUUGGAGGAUGCAAAGCAAAGAGACCUGGGGCAGCUGAUUAGUGUAGUAAAGAACGUUGAUACUUAAGUGCCCUUAAAGAAGGAGGGUGGGAGCGGAUACUGGGGAGACACAGCCAGUUUAAUCCCCCCCCCCCCCGCCAUCUCAGAAAGGCUCUGGAGUUAGAGGCUUUGAAGUGGGGCAUAAGGCUGACAAUAAGGAAUUGAUUGAAAGUCUGUAAGUGGAACCGCAUUCUCAGUUAACUUUCCCCAUCGAUUAUGAAGGUGAAGUCCUUGCCAGAGAUGGGACAUUUUUUCUCUGGAGAAACUGAAGUGUAUGAACGGUAUCCCAUUCAUUUAGGGAUACCAAGCAACAAAGAGAGGAUGGGUGAAAUGCUCAACUGAAAACAGGAACUUAAUGAACUUAUAUGUAUACCAAACAGUGAGACCCUAUGCUCUUUUCACCCAUCCUGAUCUUAGGAUAGCUAAGUAAUUACCUACCCAGGCAGGAUAUUAAAGGAUUCCUCUCUGGAUAAAACGAAGACCCCUAGGGAAAAGUCCUGUAGAUACUGACACAAUAACAAAACUGACUUACUACCCAUUCUUCCUAUAGUGAGCCCGCUAGUCAACAACUCUACUCAUUCUAUUCUAUGAACAUGGAACUCACAAAGAGUUUUUUAGUGUCUUACCCUUAAAUACAAAUAGAUAGCCAAUGAAUAGGAGACAUAUAAAGAAAGCAUUCCAUUUUUUAAAAAGACAGAAAUCAGAACAAAUGAGAAAAAAAUCAUGGAGGAAACAGACUGCAAGGAGAAGAAUAAAAGUGAAAAUCAAAACCAACCUGCAUAUAAUUAAUGCAAUAAGACAGGGCUGUAAAAAAGUAAUAAGAGAAUAACAGUCUGGGAAAUUAAAAGUAACAUGACAAAAAAAAAAUAAUUGGAAGGACCAGAAAAUAAAGUGGAAAUAAAAGCAAAAAGAAAACAAUAGAAUUAGAUUAUCAGUUUAGUAAGGAGUAUAUCUUACUAAUAAGACUUCCUGAAAGAAACUACAGGGAAAAGUAGAUGAAAUUACCAAAGAAGUAAUGCAAGAAUUUUCCUACAACUGGAGGACAUACAUUUGUAGGUUAAAAGGAUUCACAAAAUAGCCAGGAGAAUGAAAAAAGAUCCACACCACCAAUGUAUAAGACAUACCAUUGCAAAAUUUCAAGAUACAAGGUAAAUGGGAAUAUCCUAAAUCCUGUCAGGGGUGGGGGGAAGAUGGAAACUCCAGAUCACAUGCAAAAAUAUUGGAAAUUGAAAUGGUACCAGAUUUCUUAACACUGGAACCUGAGGACAACGGAUUAAUUCCUUCAGAAUCCCAAGGGAAAUCAUUUGCAACCUAGAAUUUUCAACACAAUUUAUCAAUUGGAAGAUAGAAACAAGACAGUUUGAGGGCAUGAAAGGUUUCAAAAUUUAUCUUUAUGCAUCAUUUUGCAGGAAACCACCAAAUGGUAUAUUUUACCAAAAUGUGGGCAUAAACCAAGAAAGAAUAAUAAAUUUGAUUCUGGAAACGGAGUCAAACAUAGGAAAAAAGCGAAAGAAAAUUUUAGGACGACAGCAAAGAGAAAUUUCAAGGUGAUGGUAGCGCAGCAGUCCUAGAGAGAAGCCAAUCCAGAUCAGAAUAGGGGAAGAUCCGCCAGGAGUUUCCAGAUGAAAACAAAAACAAAACUGAUUGACAAUCUGAUCCAUUUGACCAAGUGCAAAAUAUUCUUCAGAGUGGCUUUCCAGUUCCUUGUGAGCAUUUGGGAUAAAUUAUUGAUCCAGAAAACCUAGUAAAUUAA